CGGCUUGUAGCUAAAUGAAUAACUGAGAGGUUUUACUGGCCGGUGGUUGUUCUUUCAGUCGACUAAUCUGCUUACCGAGUUUCUCACAUCU